CCAACAUCAAAAGUAAAAGGAA
rnacentral:miRNA from 1 species